rnacentral:rRNA from 1 species
UACGUAGGGUGCAAGCGUUGUCCGGAAUUAUUGGGCGUAAAGAGCUCGUAGGUGGCUUGUCGCGUCUGCCGUGAAAGCCCAUGGCUUAACUAUGGGUCUGCGGUGGAUACGGGCAGGCUAGAGGCUGGUAGGGGCAAGCGGAAUUCCUGGUGUAGCGGUGAAAUGCGCAGAUAUCAGGAGGAACACCGGUGGCGAAGGCGGCUCGCUGGGCCAGUUCUGACGCUGAGGAGCAAAAGCGUGAGGAGCGAACAGG